AUGGAGUGGUAUCCAUAUCUGAAUUCAUAGGAUAUGAGAAGGCAGACCCGGGGAACUGAAACAUCUAAGUACCCGGAGGAAGAGAAAGCAAAUGCGAUUCCCUGAGUAGCGGCGAGCGAAACGGGAUUAGCCCAAACCAAGAGGCUUGCCUCUUGGGGUUGUAGGACACUCUGUACGGAGUUACAAAGGAACGAGGUAGAUGAAGAGGUCUGGAAAGGCCCGCCAUAGGAGGUAACAGCCCUGUAGUCAAAACUUCGUUCUCUCCUGAGUGGAUCCUGAGUACGGCGGAACACGUGAAAUUCCGUCGGAAUCCGG
rnacentral:rRNA from 2 species